rnacentral:rRNA from 1 species
CACCCAUAGACUACUGACUCAUCAACACCGCGAUAAUCUCCCCUUAGGUGGAGGAUAAUCUCGGGAAACUGAGNAUAAUAUUCCAUAGAUUUAGGAUGCUGGAAUGCACUUAAAUUAAAAGCUUCGGCGCCUAAGGAUGAGUCUGCGGACUAUCAGGUUGUAGUCAGGGUAACGACCUGACUAGCCUACGACGGAUACGGGUUGUGAGAGCAAUAACCCGGAGAUGAUAUCUGAGACACGAUAUCAGGCCCUACGGAGCGCAGCAGGCGCGAAAACUUCGCAAUGUGCGAAAGCACGACGAGGGAAUCCCAAGUGCUGGCUCGUUAGAGUCAGCUGUUUUUAUGUCUAAAAAGCAUAGAGAGUAAGAGCUGGGUAAGACGGGUGCCAGCCGCCGCGGUAA